UCACCGCCUUCAUUAGACGACACCGUCUGGGGGUUUAUACACGAAAACGCACCGUUUUAGUUCUUCUCUUCCACUUCAAAGGUCAUAAAUAAUCUGUACAAGCAAAAUGGAACCUUGUCAAAUCCUCUCUCUCUUCCUCUCUGUUUUGGGCAGAAAUAUUCAAUUUCGUUCAUCAACAAACCAAUGUCUUUUGCGAGAAUCGGCAACUCUUUACCGUUUUCCAGAGUCUUCAGGCAGCUGGAGCAGGAGAUGAAAACUGUGAUCAAUGUACUACAACCUGGCCCUUUGGGAAUUAUAGAACACAAGUUCUCUGCCGAAGAGACACGUGAGGCAAAUGCUACUGUUAAAAGAGCAUUAGAAAAUUGGCAAAGGAAUGCAAACAUGGAGCAGAGUAGCCCCAUCUUGAAAGAUCAAAUCGAUAAAUGAGAGAAUACUGUGGCUUCAGUAUUUUACGAUUGAAGUGAUCAAAGAAAAAUGAUUCUUGGACGGAAGUCAGGAUCAUUCACAAGUGCCACGAGCUUCAGUAUGACUAGUCUUUCUCAAAUUUUUAUUCUGCUUAAAGGGGAUUCUUGGGGUGGAUGUGGGCAUCUUCGUAUAUGUGGAUGACUGGAUGUGGUGUUGUUUUCUACUUUAAAUCAAUCACGUGCUUCAUUAUUCCCAUGACGUUUCUUCUUCUUCUUUUCAUAUAAAGUUUUUGUAACAUGUGUUGCUGCACGUGAACGCUGGCGACAUAUAAUCUCACGAAUCUUAUGAAUUGAAAGGAGAACUACCGAUUUAUAAUUACGAUUUUAAAUUGUUCAA